rnacentral:rRNA from 1 species
AAUCUCAGUUCAGACUGCAGGCUGCAACUCGCCUGCACGAAGUCGGAAUUGCUAGUAAUCGCGAAUCAGAAUGUCGCGGUGAAUACGUUCCCGGGUCUUGUACACACCGCCCGUCACACCAUGGGAGUCGGGAAUGCCCGAAGUCAGUGACCCAACCUUUGGAGGGAGCUGCCGAAGGCAGGUCUGAUAACUGGGGUGAAGUCGUAACAAGGUAGC